ACAGUGCUACUGGCCCAUAAUCAGGCAACUGCAGAGUCUUAGGGGGUUAUCUAAUGUAGUCUUGGGGUGGCUGGAUAGACUUCCCAAAGAAGGUGAUGCCGAAGCUGAGGUCGGAAAUUACGAAGAUCAGCUAUCAAACUUGGAAAUCAUGUCUUAGAGAUCAAGGAGCCAAGAGAUGAGACAAGCCUGGGUUCCUAGGUGAUAGGGUGUGGCUGUGUCCCCACCCAAAUCUCGUCUUGAAUUGUAGCUCCCAUAAUCCCCACAUGUUGUGGAGGGACCCUGUGGAAGAUGUACCCAUAGGGUCAAGCUCCAGCACAGAGACCCAUCCUGGGAUGCAGGACUUGGUGCCAGGGAAGUCCCAGCAUCUACUUGUUUCCAAAGUUAUUUGGGUCAGCAUUUUCCUCCACCCACCACUUAAAACUGAUUUGUUUCAUACAUUUGAAAUGUAUGAAAAGCCAGAAAUCCAGGACCCACCCUGGCCUGCUCCCUUUUUCUCACCUACUGUGUUAAGGAUAAGUCAAUUGAGCUUCACUUCUCUAAUUGAAAUCACCGUGCUGAUGGAGUCUGUCUGUGGAAAUGAAAGGUGGCUACCAUAAUCUGUUGGGAGUUGAAUUAAUCCUCUGGGAGUGAGGCUGACCUAAUUACUCAGAAAUACUGGGCUUGCUUUCAUUCUGUGGAAUACAGCCAUGAGAAAGAGGCCAGCAUGCCAUUUCCUAAUCUUUUCUUGAAUUGCCUGAAACUCACCUAACAUGAAACUGAGAAGCCUUUUCAUUUGAAAGUGGUAUUUCUUAUGUUUUUUAUCUUUUUGCUUGAAAGUAUUCUUAAACUAAAGAAAGGAGAAACAGAAAAGGUGAAGAAGCCAAGAGGCUGGAGUUUCCUUUUGAAUGGAUAUUCAUCCAUGAAGCUGUUGAUUCUGUUUUUCUGUUCCUCCAGAUGUCUACACUUUUACCUCUGCUUGCCUGAUACAACCACCACCAGUCACCUCACAGAAUAACUCACUCCUUAAGAAUCUGAUCAGGAAUCAGCCUUCCCUGAUCACAAACACUGAGUUUAGAAGUCCCUCCACAGUGUCCCCCGUAACCCUGUGCUACCUCACUGCCUCAUAGUUUAGUGCCGUUUGUGUACAUGCCUAUCUUCGUCCAUGGAUCCAGAACAACUUGUAAAAAUGACUGUACUUAUCACCUUCAGUAUUCAAUGACUAAACUAUAAUUUUAACAUAUCUGGCAGAAUGAAUCACUUGGGGAUUUCUGCCAACACUACCAAUAUAUUACUCCUAAUUUGUAAUUAUUACUUAGCAUGGAUUAUAGUACCGGCUGUUGGAGAGCCAAUGUGGCAGACCCUAAGUGGAAUAAAAUGUCAGUAGCAGUCUAGGAGCAUAUAUUUAUUGGAAUAGAUCAUUCAUUCAUUUGUUCAUUAACUAAUUUGUUCAUUAAAUAAACAUUUAUUAAGCACU
ensembl:lncRNA CCDC26 CCDC26 long non-coding RNA